rnacentral:rRNA from 1 species
CGGGGAUACUCAUAUAAGACGAGAAGACCCCAUGGAGCUUCAAACCCAACUACACCCCUAGCUCUUAUAGCCCCACAACCCCCCCUAGGCGCCGUGUGCUUGGUUUUAGGUUGGGGCGACCGCGGAGUACAAUAAAACCUCCACAAUGAAUGGGAACACCCCCUUAUCUGAGGGCCACACCCCCUAAGAAUUAGAACACUAACAUAAAAUGAUCCAUUACUUGAUCAAUGAACCAAGUUACCCUGGGGAUAACAGCGCAAUCCAUUUCAAGAGCCCCUAUCGACAAAUGGGUUUACGACCUCGAUGUUGGAUCAGGGUACCCCAGUGGUGCAGCAGCUACUAACGGUUCGUUUGUUCAACGAUUAAAACCCU